GCUUGAGCCGAGCAAAAGCUCAACCAAAAAUAUGAGGCUCGAUGGGCCUUGUUGAGUCGAGCCGAACCGGCUCGGUUUUAUUGUUUUUUUUUAAACAAGCCGACCAGUCGAGCCACAGGCCGGCUAGAGCUCAGCCCAUCACCCAAAAUGGAGCUCAAUUGUACUGAGCCUCAAGCUGGGUCGGCUCAGACUUUUUUGCGGCCGAGCCGCUAGCGGCAUUAGCGGACAAGUCGAAUUGCCAUUCCUACUCAUGGUUGACUCUUCCUACAAAAGAUAACAAAUAUCACCAAGAAUUUUGAAUUGAACUCGAUGACAUGCUUUUCAUAGUAACAUAUAGAUGCCUUACUUUUGUAACUUUAAGUACCAUUUUUCAAAUCAGUUUUUCUACAAGUACAGAAAAAAUCGAUAGAAUUCUUAGAUAGAAACACCUGGAAGUUUGUCAUUAGUUUUUGAAACGACAAACACAGAAUUGCACCACAUAAAUUCCUUGUAACUGUGGAAUUAAUCUUUUCAAAUCGCAUUGGGUGCUUUUGAAGAGCUCUAUAAAAUUUUGGUUUCUUGCAGGCUUAUACAGAAACACAUUAUGGGCAAGUCGCAACAAUUUUUUCUUGUAGCAGUAAUCUAACUGUAAUUAACAUAAGACAAUGCGAUAAAAUUUAUAGGACUGACCUAAAAAAAAAAAAGGCGAGAGUGGUAAACAACCCUGAGCAUUGCCAAUGGGAAUAAGAUUGAGAUAAUUGUUCGUGUUGCUUGCAGAAGUAUUGGUCAUAAUUGUUGAUUAUACAUUGAAUAACUCGAAUGGUACUUCAAAAAUUUUAGGGUGCAUUUGAUUGUAAGCACAUAGUUUACAUGGAAAGGAAAUAAAUUUUAAGUAUUUACAUGGAAUUAGGGCCUGCUUGGAGUUUCCUUAUCAUAACUGUAUUUUAAAGUAUUGGUUUGAGUGGUGUUUUAAAGUUUUUGAGCGAUUUUUGAAAGGAAAAAUUGCAGUUAAGGUAUCAAAUCUUUCGUUUACUAAAAGACUUGACCAAAAUCAUUAAUUUGUGCCAUCGAAAAUAUCAAACUUUUAAAAAAAUAGCAAGUCUAGUCCAAAAUGAUGGUUUCAGUUUGUUUGACCACCAAAAAUCGUCAGCUGACCCCAGAAAUGAAAAUUUUAAUUAUUUUCCUGAAUAAAGCCAACAUUACACAUUUUUCCUUCAAAAUCAAAAAUAAAAAUCCAUUUUACAGGCAUCCACUGAGCCAAACCAUCACAUUAUUCCCCAUCCCCAUAUAAUUCCCUUAUCCUCAAAAUCGCCGGUACCUGCCACCCAGCCCGUCUGCCAACAUCACCACCUAGGCCGGCCGCCACUGCCAUUUCUAAUUCACUCAUUUAAACAAAUGAAAGGGAAAAAAAGAAUCUUAAGAUUUACCUAACUUCUUUCUCUCUUUCAAACAGAUUUACCUAGCUUCUUCCACCACCACCACCUCUCUUUCUGAGAUUUACCUAGUCCAAAACUGAUUUUGAAAUCAAUUUGAUUUUGAGGUUUUGCCAUUGUCGUGGUGUAAGUGACGGUGGCGUGAACGCUCGAUUGGGAGCGCAAAUGCUACCGACUUUCCUCUUCUAAGGCACAAGGGAAGCCAUUUAUGUAAUUCCACUCCUCCUUAGUUGUCCUUUUGCCGAACAACAAUUGGAACCAACUCUAAGACGGGGUCUCUCGAUGAAAAGAGAUGAAGGAUUGCAGAACAAAUCAAUCGCGGUCAUUAAUGAUGAAUUCCUUAUGCAAAAUUAUUAAUUACCUUUUUUGAGCAAGAAAAAAUGGAAAUCAUAGUUUUCCUUCUUCCCUAAAAUUGAAAUCAUAAAUUUACCUAGUAGGAUAGUAAAGAAGAGAAAUGGAGAGGGGAAUUUUAAGAACCCUAAACCUUGCAAUAGCGUGGGAGUUGGUAGCAGCCCCAAUGUUUAGACGGUGUUUGGGGCUAGAGGUUGAGGCGGCGUCGUGGUGGUGGUGGUCGGCAACUAGAUCCUUUUCAUUUUGAUUUUGGGGUGAGGGGUGCGGCUGAGAAGGAAAGGGAUUUUUAUUUUUGCCCAUGUUUAG
rnacentral:lncRNA from 1 species